AUAAAGACACUGAUGAGGAAAAAUAAGCUUUUUUAUUUUCUUACAGAGAGCCGUCGGUUGGUGCGAGGGGGCAGAAAAGAGAAGCAAAACUGGCCUCGGAGUUCUGUUCUGAAAAUGUAUGACAUGAGUAGGAUGCAGCGGCAGCCACCGUUAUCGGUUUUGAGCGUGCUUGCUUUUUCGGCAGGCAAACUAGAGUGGUAACACGGAGUAUCCCUUCGUCUCUAAC
rnacentral:ncRNA from 1 species